UCGUCAGCACUUGUUGAAAAUAAUAAUAAAUAAACUAUACUCACAGUUUAUAAACACCUGUUAAAGAUGGAUGUGCUCAAACCAAGGUAAGGAAAGCCGCCACAGCAGAGACUCUGAGAGAGAAGAAAAAAGUGAGAGAAGGAGGAAAGAGAGGAAGCUUGAGGAAGUCUUCGGCUGUGGUUGAUUCGGCAAGAAAAUAUAACUUACUUGUCUUUUUUAUUUUUAUUUUUCUUGCCGAUUCCACCCAUGCCUACGAUUUCCUUUACUUUCUCUUUCUCCUCACCUUGUCUCUCUACCUCUUUUUCGCCAGAUCUGACUGUUUUGAAGGAGGAAAAGGAGAGACCGUUUCUGGAAAUUUUCGGAAUGGAGGAGUUGGAAAGAUUUUGAAUUUUCUCUGUAUUUUAAUAAUGAAAAAUCUUUCCAAUUCCUCCCAUUCCACUGAUUUCCAGCACUUCCUCUCCAUUUUCUUACCUUUCUUCAAUCCUUUUUGUUUCAUCAUUUCCUGCAGUUUGUAAGUGAAAUCGGCAGACUUUUGAAGAAAAAAAAUUAUGAUUCCAGUUAAAAGAAAUUGAAUUUUGAGAAAAAUGAAUUUGGUAAAAAUAUUAAAUCGAAUAAGGAGUUUCCUUUUUCCCGUAUCCAAACACAUUUCUUCGGAUCAGAAGAAACAGUUGGGCAUUUGUUAAUGGAGCUGUACAAGUGAAUUCGAAUAAAUCCUGAUAAUAUCAAAGCUGCUGAAGAUGGAAACAUGUGUGUACAAUAUUACUUUAGUUCUUUGUACUAUUAUCAUUCAUAUAGCACGAUUUGGUAUGUGUUCAAAUGUGUUCUCUUUUUUUUUUUGAUGCAACAGUAUAUUAUAUGUUUUGAAUGUAUACUAUUAUCAUUCAUAUAGCACGAUUGCGACCUGGAGGACUUUCCUAUUACCAUUUCGAUGUUAAAUAAAAAUGCAUAAAGUUGGUUCAAGUGUUAAAA